CUGACACUACAGCUGUAAAAACAUAGAUUAGGCCCCUGGCCCCCCUUAUUCCAACAUCAAAAUUGAUCACCCUUUCUAAUUAGAAAAUUGUAGGCCUUUUUUCAGUUCAUGUUUAGAUACAUUUUAAAUGUAUGAUUGUCUCUUUAUUCCAUUACACAAACAUGCUUUACUCCUUGAUUUCAGUGUAGUUUAGGACCCGAAAUUUCAACUCUUCAUUAUCUAUUGGUAAAAUAAAGUGGAGCUCUAGUGAGUAGAAAUUCACCCUGUGAACUUUACC